UGAGGGAUAUUGCACAAUGGGGGGAACCCUGAUGCAGCGACGCCGCGUGGGUGAUGAAGGCCUUCGGGUCGUAAAGCCCUUUUCCCGCUGACGAGAGAGGACGGUAGGCGGGGAAGAAGUCUCGGCUAACUACGUGCCAGCAGCCGCGGUAAAACGUAGGAGGCAAGCGUUAUCCGGAGUUACUGGGCGUAAAGCGCAUGUAGGCGGCGCGACAAGUGGUGGGUGAAAGCUCCCGGCUCCACCGGGAGAGGACCGAUCAGACUGUCGGGCUGGAGCACGGUAGAGGGGCAUAGAAUUCCGGGUGUAGCGGUGAAAUGUGUAGAGAUCCGGAGGAAUACCAGAGGCGAAGGCGAUGCCCUGGGCCGCUGCUGACGCUGAGAUGCGAAAGCGUGGGGAGCGAACGGG
rnacentral:rRNA from 1 species